CCCCUUUCCUCUCUCGGUAUCGCCGGCGAGGAGCAAAUCUUGGAGUGUGGAAGGAAAAGUGUUGGAUCCCUGAAUCCGUUGGUUUUGCCAGCUGUCGGAAGGGGAUCGAGGGCAUCACGAUUUGGAUCUGGCCAGCAUCAACCGAUUGGGGGAGGUAACGACCAUCGCUUCCUCCCGAUCCCCUUCUCUGUUAUCGACAAGGAACCGAUCGUGCCCUAGCUGUGAUCUUUGAGCUCGGUUGGAUCGAUCUCUUCAUCAGAUCUGUGAUUACCUCCGAUGAUUGAAGGGUGAAGAGG